rnacentral:rRNA from 1 species
UAACAGAGACUGGCAAGCGUUAUUCGGAUUCACUGGGCGUAAAGGGUGCGCAGGCGCCAGUGUGUGAGGCGUGAAAGCCUGGAGCUUAACUCCAGAAUUGCACCUCAAACUACUUGGCUAGAGCAUUGGAGAGGGUAGCAGAAUUCAUGGUGUAGCAGUGAAAUGCGUAGAUAUCAUGGAGGAAUACCAGAGGCGAAGGCGGCUACCUGGACAAUUGCUGACGCU